rnacentral:misc_RNA from 1 species
UUUAAAUCAAUGAGUGCACUUAAUUGUGGCUCAAAUUUUUUUAAAUUUAAACCCCAAAAAUUUGAUUGUAUGACUACCAAACCCUUUUUGUCAUUUCAAUCAAGUAAAAGUGACAUUUUUGUUACAUUAUCCCCCCCUAACCUUUUUUUUAUUUUUAUUUUAUUAUAAAUACACAAGUGAACUUAAGAAUGUAAAAAUUGAUUGAUUAUUUUGAAAUAA